rnacentral:tRNA from 1 species
GGGCAGGUACCCAAGUGGCCAACGGGGGCAGACUGUAAAUCUGCUGGCUUAGCCUUCGGAGGUUCGAAUCCUUCCCUGCCCA